AAAUUGAAGAGUUUGAUCAUGGCUCAGAUUGAACGCUGGCGGCAGGCCUAACACAUGCAAGUCGAGCGGUAGCACAGAGAGCUUGCUCUCGGGUGACGAGCGGCGGACGGGUGAGUAAUGUCUGGGAAACUGCCUGAUGGAGGGGGAUAACUACUGGAAACGGUAGCUAAUACCGCAUAAUGUCGCAAGACCAAAGUGGGGGACCUUCGGGCCUCAUGCCAUCAGAUGUGCCCAGAUGGGAUUAGCUAGUAGGUGGGGUAACGGCUCACCUAGGCGACGAUCCCUAGCUGGUCUGAGAGGAUGACCAGCCACACUGGAACUGAGACACGGUCCAGACUCCUACGGGAGGCAGCAGUGGGGAAUAUUGCACAAUGGGCGCAAGCCUGAUGCAGCCAUGCCGCGUGUGUGAAGAAGGCCUUCGGGUUGUAAAGCACUUUCAGCGGGGAGGAAGGCGGCAAGGUUAAUAACCUUGGCGAUUGACGUUACCCGCAGAAGAAGCACCGGCUAACUCCGUGCCAGCAGCCGCGGUAAUACGGAGGGUGCAAGCGUUAAUCGGAAUUACUGGGCGUAAAGCGCACGCAGGCGGUCUGUCAAGUCGGAUGUGAAAUCCCCGGGCUCAACCUGGGAACUGCAUUCGAAACUGGCAGGCUAGAGUCUUGUAGAGGGGGGUAGAAUUCCAGGUGUAGCGGUGAAAUGCGUAGAGAUCUGGAGGAAUACCGGUGGCGAAGGCGGCCCCCUGGACAAAGACUGACGCUCAGGUGCGAAAGCGUGGGGAGCAAACAGGAUUAGAUACCCUGGUAGUCCACGCCGUAAACGAUGUCGAUUUGGAGGUUGUGCCCUUGAGGCGUGGCUUCCGGAGCUAACGCGUUAAAUCGACCGCCUGGGGAGUACGGCCGCAAGGUUAAAACUCAAAUGAAUUGACGGGGGCCCGCACAAGCGGUGGAGCAUGUGGUUUAAUUCGAUGCAACGCGAAGAACCUUACCUGGUCUUGACAUCCACAGAACUUAGCAGAGAUGCUUUGGUGCCUUCGGGAACUGUGAGACAGGUGCUGCAUGGCUGUCGUCAGCUCGUGUUGUGAAAUGUUGGGUUAAGUCCCGCAACGAGCGCAACCCUUAUCCUUUGUUGCCAGCGGUUAGGCCGGGAACUCAAAGGAGACUGCCAGUGAUAAACUGGAGGAAGGUGGGGAUGACGUCAAGUCAUCAUGGCCCUUACGACCAGGGCUACACACGUGCUACAAUGGCAUAUACAAAGAGAAGCGACCUCGCGAGAGCAAGCGGACCUCAUAAAGUAUGUCGUAGUCCGGAUUGGAGUCUGCAACUCGACUCCAUGAAGUCGGAAUCGCUAGUAAUCGUAGAUCAGAAUGCUACGGUGAAUACGUUCCCGGGCCUUGUACACACCGCCCGUCACACCAUGGGAGUGGGUUGCAAAAGAAGUAGGUAGCUUAACCUUCGGGAGGGCGCUUACCACUUUGUGAUUCAUGACUGGGGUGAAGUCGUAACAAGGUAACCGUAGGGGAACCUGCGGUUGGAUCACCUCCUUACCUUAAAGAA
rnacentral:rRNA from 1 species